GAUGAACGCUAGCUACAGGCUUAACACAUGCAAGUCGAGGGGAAACGAUAUUGGAAGCUUGCUUCCGAUAGGCGUCGACCGGCGCACGGGUGAGUAACGCGUAUCCAACCUGCCCAUCACUUGGGGAUAACCUUGCGAAAGUAAGACUAAUACCCAAUGAUAUCUCUAGAAGACAUCUGAAGGAGAUUAAAGAUUCAUCGGUGAUGGAUGGGGAUGCGUCUGAUUAGCUUGUUGGCGGGGUAACGGCCCACCAAGGCGACGAUCAGUAGGGGUUCUGAGAGGAAGGUCCCCCACAUUGGAACUGAGACACGGUCCAAACUCCUACGGGAGGCAGCAGUGAGGAAUAUUGGUCAAUGGACGAGUGUCUGAACCAGCCAAGUAGCGUGCAGGAUGACGGCCCUAUGGGUUGUAAACUGCUUUUAUAAGGGAAUAAAGUGAGUCUCGUGAGACUUUUUGCAUGUACCUUAUGAAUAAGGACCGGCUAAUUCCGUGCCAGCAGCCGCCGCGG
rnacentral:rRNA from 1 species